GUGCUUCAGUGGCACGGACAUUAAGACGGGAUGGAUACAGAGUCAGUUAGCAUGGCCUCUGCACAAGGUUAACACACUCAUUCAUGUAGCAGUCCACAUGUGC
rnacentral:snRNA from 1 species